rnacentral:rRNA from 1 species
GACGAACGCUGGCGGCGUGCUUAACACAUGCAAGUCGAACGGAAAGGCCCCUUUGGGGGUACUCGAGUGGCGAACGGGUGAGUAACACGUGAGUAACCUGCCCUUGACUUCGGGAUAACUUCAGGAAACUGGGGCUAAUACCGGAUAGGAAUCCUUGCUGCAUGGUGGGGGUUGGAAAGCUUCGGCGGUUUUGGAUGGACUCGCGGCUUAUCAGCUUGUUGGUGGGGUAGUGGCUUACCAAGGCUUUGACGGGUAGCCAGCCUGAGAGGGCGACCGGCCACAUUGGGACUGAGAUACGGCCCAGACUCCUACGGGAGGCAGCAGUGGGGAAGAUUGCACAAUGGGCGGAAGCCUGAUGCAGCAACGCCGCGUGCGGGAUGACGGCCUUCGGGUUGUAAACCGCUUUCAGCAGGGGCGAAGCUUGUGGUGACGGUACCUGCAGAAGAAGCACCGGCUAACUACGUG